GCAAACAUAGUGGAAUGGUUUGAGUGUUAGACUAUGACUCUGAAGAACAGGGUUCAAACCCCUGCUUAGCC